GACGUUCGUCACGGGCGUGGGGGACACGUCGUAGGCUGCGGGCAACAGCAUUUUCAGUCAGCAGGUGUGCUGAGUGUCGACAGGAGCGGCCCCCACCUGGCUUCUUCACAUGCCUCCGCAUGCUCUGUCUCUCUCUCUCAUGGAGAGGCUCACCUUAAACUUGCCAUGGAAGAUAACAUCUCGUAGAAAAUGUGGAGCCUGUUGCUGAGACUUGGAGGUCGGAGACAGGUUGACUUCCACUUCUACGUCCUCAGUCAUUGUCCAAUCCCUGCAGGUUGAAAACGGAGAUAAACCGAUCUGGGUUUAAGGACAGAGGAUUUUGCACCUUCUUAAGAACCAUGAGACUGUGAAAUAUGAAUAUGGGCUCUACAAAAUUGAUAUUGAUUGAACAACAAAAGUAAUGCAUACAGCCUGCAGCCACAACACAAUGUAAGUAUUUUUUAGAUCAGAACUGUGCACAAGUUGAUUGUGAUCUAUGAAGAGACAUUUGGACACAAAUCUCCAUGUGCACAGUUACAUAAAUCUGAUUAUGUUUUGACUUGGGACUAUAUUUGUCUAUUGUAUGUUCAUAUUUUUUGGAAACAAUCGUACAGAAAGUUGUAGAAAUGAGGCCACAGGACAAAAAAAACCACAAUCCUUAGCAGUUUUUUCUAAAAAGAUGGGGAAUUCUUUAACUUGUAAUUACUUGCACUAGAAAAAAUACAUGUAUCAUCUACAGCAUUUAAUUUGGCUGAAGAACUACAUCAAUAAAUUACAGCUCAGUCACAAUAGUUGCACAGAGAAUACUCUGUGUAAACAAAUUAAGCUGACCAUGAUAUAUUUAUGCGGAUGAGGGGACAUUCUUUUUUAAAGUAGGCUAGGUCUUAAUGGUUUGGUUCAUAUAACUCUGGAAUAUAGACUAAAUAUAGUUUGAGUAAUUGACUUCAUUUAUGUUAGUAUUUGGUUUUAAAGAGGAGCUUAGGAAACCUGUGACGUUUUUCUUCAAGCAAUAAAAACUGUCCAAAACAUUGAGAUUGAAGUUAAUUCUGUGUAGAUUUUUGUCUGUGAAGCCAUUCCAGGAAACUGUUCUUUCUUCCUCAAUUGUUUACUUUGUGAGAACUGAGAUCCAGAAACUUUCUGUACAACCUCUCAUUCCUGACACUUCAAUCCUACAAGCUUAUGUAACAUGGCAGCAACAUCCGCACUCAAGGAUAUUUUUAGAUUUUAAGAGUUAAAAAAUAUACAGAGAAUCAAGCAAAGGAAAGCAGGGACCUUGAGCAGAGGCUCCCAGGGGACAGCAUGUGUCUGACUGGAUGCAUGGGAGCAAGAUGUAGGGGUUACAGGUCAGUUCUCACAGGAAAUAGAAGGAAGUGGUGUUUGUGUUCACAUGCUGUGAUUCAGAUUUUCACUGCUAUGGCUUAAACCUUAGACAUCAGACAAGAUAGGUUUUGACUAAUCGUGGCUUUCACCACUUAAGCUGUUCACUGAGCCUCACAAUGAAACUGUCUAUAGAGAAGUGGGUAAACUUAACUACAGAGUACUCAGGAAUGUGAGUAGUGACCACGGAGCAAGUGAGGAUGUAAUCAGGUAGGUCCUAAUAUAUAUUGACUAUUUAAUAUUUAUAUCCUGUAUGAUAUAUUAGAUAAUCAUGAGUUGAGCAGAUUAGAAUAGACCAGGGGUAGGCAACCUUUACUAUCGAAAGAGCCAUUUCGCCCCCUCUUCCCCCAAAUUAAAUCUGUCUGGAGCCGCACAACAUAUUUGAUAACACAGGUUAUAAAGUUAUAUAUAUAUAUAGUCAUACAAUAUAUAUAAAAACUAUAGUUUGUUGCAUUUAUUAAAUAAUAGAACGACAGUUAAAAAAACUGUUGACAUUUAACUGCUAUUUUUACCUGUUACAAAAUAGGAAAACACCAAACUCUUAUGACUUGGACGAGAACAAAAUACAUGUGUGGGCCUACUUUGGAAUAAAUUAAACACAGACCUCAGCUUUUUUUGUUCAUCUCCAGCUUGGUACUUUUCAGCAGAUGCUGUGUGCUUGCUCUGGAAAUAUCUUUCAACAUUACAUUUCUUAUUGUUUGCUAAUUCCUCGCCACAUAUCAAGCAUACAUGUAAGACAGCAUCGGUGGCAGUGAAAGCAAAUUCAUCUGUCCACGCAGAAUUAAACUCUAUUUUCCUCCCAGACUUUUCUUUUCUGGGAUUUAUCCAUGAUUAGUUUACCGAGGUCGGGGUCUGAACUAUAGAUUAGCGACCUGCAGGGACUAGCGCUGGGACGUAAUAGGUUGUGACGCAUAUUUUAGUUGCUGAAAUAUUAAAACAAAACGUGAGAGCAGGUCAGACUGGAGGCCGACACAGAAACUGCAGAUCGGUACAAACCACCUGCAGCUUCUGCUCUGAUAAAGAAGCUUAGGCGCUGAUCUCUGAUCAGCUGAGACCAGAGAAACUCGUUUUCACUGUUUCCACUGUUGAGAAGCAGCCGGUCAGUCACUGAGAGGCUGCUCCACGUGAACGAGCUCCGAUCUCACGGUGUCUCUCUGAGCGAGUGAGCAGAGCUCAGGGCGGGGGGCGGAGCCCCGGCUCUGUGUGUGUGUCGGCUAUCUGGGAGCGCGCACACACACACACACACACACACACACACAUUCAUCCGCUACUGGUAUUUCAUGAUGGCCUGAUACGAUGAUUAUUUAAAAAAAAUCAACGUGAACGUGACGUUCACUCACGUUCAUCAUAUGAGAGAACUGACCUUUCGAAGUUCACCGUUCGCGAAAAAUGUGCGCAACAUGCACUGCACAGGGAGCCACUGCAGAGGGGCUGAAGAGCCGCAUGCGGCUCCGGAGCCGCAGGUUGCCGACUGCUGGAAUAGACUAAUGAUUUAGAAAUAAUAUGAUAAUGAUAAGUUGAUUAAUAAGUGUGAGUCAACAACCUGACUUUCUUCAUGAGUGUUGAGUUAGCUGCACUAGACUAAUGACUUACUUACUUUACCAACCACCUAGAGAUUUCGCCAGAGUUUUGUCCAAAGACUCGUACCAGGCAGAUGAACGAAUCGUUCAAGUCCCGACGUGUUUCGUUCAUCUGCCCACAGAGUCUUCGGCCAAAGUGUCGGCCACACAGAGCGCGCUCAUUUCGCCGGUGACCGCGGUGCGAGCGGCGGAUGGGAAAAUCGCCCCACGGAAAAGCAAGCCGAGCUCCGGGGCGGCGGGGCUCCAGAGCCCCCCGGUCACCUACAUGCAUAUCAGCGAGACGGAGGUGUUCAGCUGUUCCUGCUGCGGCCCGGCGCCUCCAUACCGCUGCACGUCCACCCGGACAUGAACGGGGAUCUACGGAGCUGCUCCGCACGCUGCCAGCACAUCCAGCUGGCCCGCCGCAUCCGCGGACACAUAGCUUAAACUGCUGCUGAUCCACUGACUAUAACAACGCCGCAUUCCUACACUUCUAAUCUAAUUCAAUGUGGAAUAAUCCAAGUAUUCAGAAUACGUUACUCAGAUAAGUUAAUGUAACGGAAUAAGUUACAGAUUAAAUUGUUUGGCAUGUAUUCUGCAUUCUGUAACAGAAUACGUUUUGAAAGUAUCCUUCCCAACACUGGAAAUGUUACUGACUUGAGAGUAGUAAGACACCUUUAUUUAAAAAAAAAUUAUUCUCAAGAUGGUAAAUUUGCACACACUUUUUACGAAGGGCAUGCCUUGUGUUUAUACUUAAAAUGACUAAAUUACUUAAAUGCACACCGAUUUGUUAUUCUGGUUUCUGUAAUGAGCAGUUAAAUAAAAAUGUGGGAAAGAAUAUUGUACAGUA